UAGGGAAUCUUCGGCAAUGGACNGAAAGUCUGACCGAGCAACGCCGCGUGAGUGAAGAAGGUUUUCGGAUCGUAAAGCUCUGUUGUAAGAGAAGAACGGGUGUGAGAGUGGAAAGUUCACACUGUGACGGUAUCUUACCAGAAAGGGACGGCUAACUACGUGCCAGCAGCCGCGGUAAUACGUAGGUCCCGAGCGUUGUCCGGAUUUAUUGGGCGUAAAGCGAGCGCAGGCGGUUAGAUAAGUCUGAAGUUAAAGGCUGUGGCUUAACCAUAGUACGCUUUGGAAACUGUCAAACUUGAGUGCAGAAGGGGAGAGUGGAAUUCCAUGUGUAGCGGUGAAAUGCGUAGAUAUAUGGAGGAACACCGGUGGCGAAAGCGGCUCUCUGGUCUGUAACUGACGCUGAGGCUCGAAAGCGUGGGGAGCGAACAGGAUUAGAUACCCUGGUAGUCCACGCCGUAAACGAUGAGUGCUAGGUGUUGGAUCCUUUCCGGGAUUCAGUGCCGCAGCUAACGCAUUAAGCACUCCGCCUGGGGAGUACGACCGCAAGGUUG
rnacentral:rRNA from 1 species